AUUAGGACACAUGACUUGUUUGUACAUUCUUCUCUUCGUCUUUAUUUUCAUGGACUAUGUCAUUUUUCACUUCAAUUUUAAGGUCCUUUAAAACUCCCCAAGCGAACAGUGCUGUAGAGUGCAAUACAAUAAAACAAAAAUACAACUGAUUCAAUAACACUAAGAAUGAUAAAACAUAAUCAAACAAGAAUAACACAAAACCAUAAAAAUCAACACUUAAGAAAGAAGACCAGGACCAGACGAGCUGCUGUAUGAAGCAGUCUAUUUUGCCUAUUCUGCAUUCUCCUAAACCAGGGGUCUGCAACCUGCAGCUCUGGGGCCACAUGUGACUCUUUGGUCCCUCUGCAGUGGCUCUUUGAACAUUUGACCAAACAAAACAGAUUUUUUUGUUUGUUUUGUUUUUUAUUCUCACAAGACUAAUAAAUUGUAUGUACAUAUGUGAUCAGUACUACUAAUAUAAAAAGUAAAACAUGUUAGCUCGUGCUAGCCUGUUGUCUACCUAAAUAAUCCAAAUUUUUUCUAUGAUUUUUCUCUCAAAUCCAUCAGGGUUAUCUUAAAACACCUUUAGGACUACAUAACAAUAAGAAUUAGGGGCAACAAAUGUCUGACUAAUUCAGAUGUAUUAGUUUUUAUGAAAUUCUGUAUAGACUAUAGCCAGCAUUUUUCAUGUCAUAUGUUUUUUUCUUCAGUCCUGAUGUGUAAAAAAAUAAAAUAAAAUUCACAAUAUAAUUUUUAAGUUUAUGUCACCUCCACUGGCCAUAAAGGUUCACGAAUAAGUCUCGAAAAAGGCUCACGAACCACCAGUUGAUAAUCACAGUUGUAGCUUCUUUUGCGGCUCUGGGCACAUUUUAUGAGUGAGCCGAGGAGCAGAAAUGGCUCUUUUAAUUGUAAAGGUUGCAGACCCCUGUCCUAAACAAACACGCCCACACUCAAGAAACAACACUGAAGAUAAAAAAACUAAAGCACAGAUCCUCACAACCACACAUCAAUGUUUUACRCAACAACUCAGUUGAUUCUAGAAUUGAACGACUUUUUWAAAGUUUUGUAGAUCUGUCCAGACCCUGAAAAUGUCUCAACUGAUCCAGUCUGUAGGUUAGACAUACUGUAUCUAUGGUCAAAGUGGCAGCGAKGGUCAAAACAUAUCAACGUGUGGUCAGAGACACACAGCUGAUGUGUGAAUGCUCYGGUCUGUCUGCGAGCACAAAGCCUGACUCAUGAGAUAACCGGUCACCUGUCUCACAUUUAACUCAGUUUUCAGUCCUCUCUGAUUUACCCUUCUGCCAGCUGAGCAACUCUUAACUAAAYUAUUUCAGGCACACAUUUCAAGAGAGAUGGUCCGCUGUGUGUUUAGAGUGGCUUUUUAAUAAUUACAGGUCGAAAAGAAAAUAACAGAGAAUUUGAAAUCCACUUUUCAGUUAAUGGGAUUUUAUCUUCUACUGAAGGUAAACAGUGAGCAAUCAAUAUGAAUAUUACAAAAAAAACAGUUUUAAAAUGGAAAAAAACCUUAAAUGUCUGAAAUUACUGGUUUGAAUCAACACAUCUGGAGAAUAAUAUAGCUCUGUUUACACAAUUUUAGAUGAACUGAAACUAUU